rnacentral:tRNA from 1 species
CCCCUUAUAGCUCAACAGGACAGAGUACCUCACUCCUAACGAGGCGAUCCAGGUUCAAGUCCUGGUAAGGGGA